ACGAGAUGCAGAGGGAGGUACGAGGCUGGAGAAAGACAGCUGCGGGUUUUGGACACUUUCGCAGCUGCCAGGAAAAUAGCGGAGGGGCGGCCGAGUCCGCCACACAAGCUUGAGCAUUACAACUUGCGUGGGAGUUGUUUGCAGUCCUAUCUGCAUUGUGGGCACGCAAGUUUAUGAGCACCGACGGCAGGGCGAAAAAACAAGAAGAAACCGCAGAUGGGUUCAUCUUGACCCUAUUAGAAUCAAACCAUAAUAAAAUACACAACAUGCUCACAAUUGGAUUAGGUGUGAAAGCGAGGAGAUCGAUAACAGGCCGGCGUACUGAUGCUACCAGAGGCAAAUAAAUAAAGUGGGGUGGUGGAGGUGGUGGUGGGACGUGGAGGAGAACUUCAAGAUUUGGCCAGAGGAGGGCGACGUAUCAAUACACACUAACUGUGCAAAUCCUUAUCCUGAAGAAGAGGUAGAUUAAAAAAAUAAAUAAACAAGUACAGUCUACGCCAAACUGAGUUACAGUCGGUCAGAGAGCAUGAUUUUUGAGUCCUCUACAGGAGAGAGCGGUUCUCAGCCCUGCCGAUUUGCACUGCUUCAGAGAAAUAAAGUUUUUGGAGUCAGUCAUGGCAUCUAUGAGUGAAACACAAGGCCGCAGUCUGAAGUUCGCAGUUUACCCGGCGAACAGCAGCCCUUCACCAGCUCAGAUUUCUGCGACACAGCAUGAGAAUUAGUGCUAUUUCAGUUAAAAGUGAUUACAGAGAACGGUUGAAUACACUAAAAAUUCAAUUCUACUUUUAAAUGUUACAUUUCUUUGUCUAAAAUUAUUGUUAAAUGAGUUUAAAUGUAUGUAAUAUUUUAAACUAUACUGUAUUCACCCAAAUAAAUUCAAUUUGUCUUGUA